rnacentral:rRNA from 1 species
AUUGAACGCUGGCGGCAGGCCUAACACAUGCAAGUCGAACGUGUGGCGGACGGGUGAGUAAUGUCUGGGAAACUGCCCGAUGGAGGGGGAUAAGUACUGGAAACGGUAGCUAAUACCGCAUACAAUCGGAUGUGCCCAGAUGGGAGUAGCUUGUAGGUGAGGGAACGGCUCACCUAGGCGACGAUCCCUAGCUGGUCUGAGAGAAGGACCAGCCACACUGGAACUGAGAGACGGUCCAGAAUCCGACGGGAGGCAGCAGUAGGGAAUAUUACACAAUGAGCGCAAUCCUGAUACAGCCAUGCCGCGUGAAUGAAGAAGGCCUUAGGGGUGUAAAGUACUUUCAACGGGGAGGCGUUAACCGGAGAAGAAGCACCGGCUAACUACGUGCCAGCAGCCGCGGUAAUUC